GGAGGUAUAGCUCAGGGGUAGAGUGCAUGCCUAGCAUGCACAAGGUCCUGGGUUCAAUCCCCAGUACCUCCU
rnacentral:tRNA from 1 species